AAACGCAUUAUGAUUAUAUAUAGAUCAGGAGUAUCAGGCCAAUAGAGCCAUGUUUACAUGCUGACAUUGUUGCUCUUAAGAGGAAGAGGAUACAGUUUGUGCGUUAAAGCAAGUGUUGCAACAAAUAAAGAAGGUGAACAUAAUUAAAUCAACCCUGGCAUGCACACUGCUUGCAAUGUGAAGCUGUCUAUGUACAGGAGGCUAGAAUUGUGUCGUCUCCAUAUUUGAGAGCUUACAACAUGGGUGCAGACAUGUUGGAUAGACUGCCGCCUACCUUGAAAAUUUUGCCCUACUUGCUCUGCAGCAAAUACACUUACUGUUUCAACAAAAUUGGAGUCAUUUUGAACUGUGUUUUGUUUCUAUGAACAUGUUUCUCGACGAAACAAGUACUUUCGACACGUCAUAUACUGCUUCAGGUUUACAAUUUGUCAUUCGACUAUGUACAUCUAAUGAAUAUGUACACACAGGUCAGGCCCACGCAAAUGUUUGCAAAUUGCAGAUAAAAAGGGGGAUUACUCGAUGUCGUCUCACUCCGACGUUUGUUUUCAAAAGAAAAUUUUGAAAAUAUGUUUUUGUACAUUUAUUCUUAUUUCUGAAAAUCAUAUCACAAAUAAUUAGACUUCAAUAGACUUACAUAAACAAAUGUGUGCUUCAGACCGAUAUCAAAAUAAAAUUUCACCGCAAAUUAAGUGUACAAGUGCUUGUUUACCUGUAUGUCAGGGAGAUUUUUUGGCAAAAUUGAAUCGUAUAUACUGAAAAAUUGUUCCGGGUCUUCGUUUCUUAUUGCCGAAGCAAGGAGAAAUGAAUACUUUUCGUUUUCCUCCACAUUUUCGGCGUCGUUAUCCAUUUUAUCGUGAAGCCAUUUUGGAUAUUCUGUCGCCAAGAAGAAACCACGAGAAUCGCGAGAAUGUUUUGUGCGCGCGAAAUUCAAAAUUGCUUUAAAUUUUGUCAAGGGCUACUGUGUCAUGAACAUGUAUACAUACAAGAUUUUAUCUGUUGAUGUCAAAAGUUAAUGAUAAAUCAAUGAAUAAAGACAUCAAGUGUAUU
rnacentral:sRNA from 1 species